rnacentral:rRNA from 1 species
GCCCAGUGACACCAUGUUUAACGGCCGCGGUAUCCUAACCGUGCGAAGGUAGCGCAAUCAAUUGUCCCAUAAAUCGAGACCUGUAUGAAUGGCCAAACGAGGUCUUAACUGUCUCUUACAGAUAAUCAGUGAAAUUGAUCCCCCUGUGCAAAAGCAAGGAUAUACCCAUAAGACGAGAAGACCCUGUGGAACUUAAAAAUCAGCGACCACCCCGUACAACCCUACACCCCCUAGAGGGGACCCCACAACACGCUACACAUUGGCCGCCAUUUUUUGGUUGGGGCGACCUUGGAGAAAAACGAACCCUCCAAAACAAAGACCACACCUCUUAACCAAGAACACCACCUCAACGUGCUAACAGCAACCAGAUCCAGUAAUAACUGAGCAAUGAACCAAGCUACCCCAGGGAUAACAGCGCAAUCCCCUCCAAGAGCCCCUAUCGACGAAGGGGUUUACGACC